GAUGAACGCUGGCGGCGUGCCUAAUACAUGCAAGUCGUACGAACAGCGGAAAGUGCUUGCACUUUCCAAGUAAGUGGCGAACGGGUGAGUAACACGUGGGUAACCUGCCCAAAAGAAGGGGAUAACAUUUGGAAACAAGUGCUAAUACCGUAUAACCAUGAUGACCGCAUGGUCAUGAUGUAAAAGGUGGUUUUGCUAUCGCUUUUGGAUGGACCCGCGGCGUAUUAACUAGUUGGUAAGGUAACGGCUUACCAAGGUGAUGAUACGUAGCCGAACUGAGAGGUUGAUCGGCCACAAUGGGACUGAGACACGGCCCAUACUCCUACGGGAGGCAGCAGUAGGGAAUCUUCCACAAUGGGCGCAAGCCUGAUGGAGCAACGCCGCGUGAAUGAAGAAGGUCUUCGGAUCGUAAAGUUCUGUUAUUAGAGAAGAACACGUGUAAGAGUAACUGAUUAUGCGUUGACGGUAUCUAAUCAGCAAGUCACGGCUAACUACGUGCCAGCCG
rnacentral:rRNA from 1 species